rnacentral:lncRNA from 1 species
GCAUAUACAGUGCCAAAAAGCCAAAAUUCCAACUUUGCACCCUGUUUGGCACACGCCGUGAAAAUCUAAGAAGAGUCCAAUGCCCUAUUUGUUUGGGCUGAAGAUUCUUGAGAAGCAGCCGGAGAUUCUUGGAUUUGGGCUGCAGAUUCUUGAGAAGUAACUGGAGAUUCUUGGACCUGAGAAGCAGCUGGAGAUUGUCAGAUUAUACUGGUGCUAGACAACUGUUUGCAACCUGCUUCUGAGAAUAGCCGGUGGGGCCGUAGCCGGUGCUGAAAGUCUGAAAUGCGCUUGUAUGCUGAAUGUAAUGAUUAAGUACUAAUUUAGCACAAUUUAUUGUUUUGAUUGAUCUCGGUACCAUUUGGAAUUCGAAAAAAUAAAUAAAUAAUAUUAUUUGGGUUCAAGAGCAAAAUAAUGAACCGCAAAAAUAAAUUCGAACAUACAGUGCAAUGCACACAAUUGCAUAUAGAUUUUACCACAAGCGACUAGUUAAAUAUAAUAACAAAUAGUCCAGAAUAUGAAGUGCUCAUACAUUACCACGAACCACUAGUAGGAAAUAUAAUAACAAGUAGUUCAACAUAUGAGGUCCAAAAUACAUACUGGCUCUACCGUACAACUUUUCUAUCGACCUAUCAAACCAUUAGCAAUCCUUUCACGAAACACAUCCAUGGUCAGAAGUAUAAUGAUCAACCAUACGCUUGAAUUCUCUCUGCAUGGGGGUCUUUUUCUUAUUUGGGCUUCCACCACCACUACUACCCACACGCUUUCCAUUCACAGACCCAGACUUCUGACUUGUAGGAGUAACUAGUACCUCCUCACCUUCAUUAUCAUCUUCAAUAAUAACUUGCUCAUUGCCUGCCCCAGGCACAUAAGAACUCUUCCCAUCAACAUGAGCUCCCGCAAACAUAACUUCAAGUUCAUCUAUGAAAUCUGGAGGUCCUUUACGAAAACCUUCGGCAAGUUUAUUGCCCUAUGAAUAAAAACAGUACAAAUUAGCAUCGAAUCUCAUACCAACAAAGUGUGCACAUAAUAUUAAUAACCUUUUAGUAACUAUAUACAUUUAUAGUCUCUUGCCACCAGUCCUCGUCGGCGGUAACAGUUCUUGUAGCUUGGUCCCAACCCAGCCCAGUGCAUCUACCUCUAUAGUACUUCCAUGCUGAGUACAAAGCUUUCAUGGCAUCCCAUCUAUUUUUGAAUUGUCUUCUAGUGUAGUUUCUUCUAGUUCGUUGGAAAAAAUCUCGCUCUAAGUUCUUGUACCCUGUGGUACUCAAAAAAGCCGUUGGUCUAUUUCCUUCAAGCGUUUGUUCAGCGCAUAUCUCACAUAAUGCUUUGGCAGCAAUUGCAUCCCAAUUUUCUUUUGAUUGGUUUAGUUUUUCUUGAUCGAUCUAUAUACAUCGACAACAAGCAUAUAAUUGUUAAUACAUAACAGCAAGAACAGCCCUAUCCAUGAAUGCUCCAUCAAUACACCACAAAAUCCAUACAUCUAUGGAAUACAUCUAUACAUCCACACAUAAUACAUGUACAAAAAAAUCUUAGGUUCAUCCAAACAUGCAGCAGAGAGGGCAUCC